CACGCUCGGAGAUAGAGGCUGUAUGCGCUGGCGCCUCCGGGCACAGUGGCGGAGGCUGAACUAUUUUUCCACCCAUGUCUUUUGCGUACUUGUUGUUUCCUGGGCGGGUUCGCCCGCCACCAGGACCACACCAUAAACCUUUUUUUAUGUAGUUGCAAUCAGCGUCAGUAUAACAAAUGUUAAAUCAUUUACAACUUUCAACAACGGAUCUCUUGGUUCUGGCAUCGAUGAAGAACGCAGCGAAAUGCGAUACGUAGUGUGAAUUGCAGAAUUCAGUGAAUCAUCGAAUCUUUGAACGCACAUUGCGCCCUUUGGUAUUCCAAAGGGCAUGCCUGUUCGAGCGUCAUUUGUACCCUCAAGCUUUGCUUGGUGUUGGGCGUUUUUUUUGUCUUGCCUUGCCGCGAGACUCGCCUUAAAACGAUUGGCAGCCGGCCUACUGGUUUCGGAGCGCAGCACAUUUUUUGCGCUUACAACCAGCUAAAGAGGUCAGCAAUCCAUCAAGUCCAUUUCUCACUUUUGACCUCGGAUCAGGUAGGGAUACCCGCUGAACUUAAGCAUAUCAAUAAGCGGAGGAA
rnacentral:rRNA from 1 species